CCUACGGGAGGCAGCAGUGAGGAAUAUUGGUCAAUGGGCGCGAGCCUGAACCAGCCAAGUAGCGUGAAGGAUGACUGCCCUACGGGUUGUAAACUUCUUUUAUAAAGGAAUAAAGUGAGGCACGUGUGCCUUUUUGUAUGUACUUUAUGAAUAAGGAUCGGCUAACUCCGUGCCAGCAGCCGCGGUAAUACGGUGGAUCCGAGCGUUAUUCGGAUUUAUUGGGUUUAAAGGGAACGUAGAUGGGUUGUUAAGUCAGUUGUGAAAGCUUGCGGCUCAACCGGAAAAUUGCAGUUGAUACUGGCAGCCUUGAGUACAGUUGAGGAAGGUAGAAUUCCAGGUGUAGCGGUGAAAUGCGUAGAUAUCUGGAGGAACACCGGUGGCGAAGGCGGCCAACUAGAC
rnacentral:rRNA from 1 species